rnacentral:rRNA from 1 species
GACGAACGCUGGCGGCGUGCUUAACACAUGCAAGUCGAACGGAAAGUCCCCUUUUGGUGUCCUCGAGUUGCGAACGGGUUAGUAACACGUGAUUAACCUGCCCUUGACUUCGGGAUAACUUCAGGAAACUGGGGCUAAUACCGGAUAGGAAUCCUUGCUGCAUGGUGGGUGUUGGAAAGCUUCGUCGGUUUUGUAUGGACUCGCGGCUUAUCAGCUUGUUGGUGGGGUAGUGGCUUACCAAGGCUUUGACGGGUAGCCGGCCUGAGAGGGCGACCGGCCACAUUGGGACUGAGAUACGGCCCAGACUCCUACGGGAGGCAGAAGUAGGGAAUAUUGAACAAUGGGAGGAAGCGUGAUGCAGAAACGCCGCGUGCGGGAUGACGGCCUUGGGGUUGUAAACCGAUUUCAGCAGGGGCGAAGCUUGUGGUGACGGUACCUGCAGAAGAAGCACCGGCUAACUACGUG